rnacentral:rRNA from 1 species
GCCAGACUCCUACGGGAGGCAGCAGUCGGGAAUAUUGCGCAAUGGAGGAAACUCUGACGCAGUGACGCCGCGUGCAGGAAGAAGGUUUUCGGAUUGUAAACUGCUUUAGACAGGGAAGAAACAAGACAGUACCUGUAGAAUAAGCUCCGGCUAACUACGUGCCAGCAGCCGCGGUAAUACGUAGGGAGCAAGCGUUAUCCGGAUUUAUUGGGUUUAAAGGGUGCGUAGGCGGCAUUAUAAGUUAGUGGUAAAAUAUUGGGGCUUCACCUCACUACGCCAUUAAUACUGUAGAGCUAGAGAACAGACGAGGUAGGCGGAAUAAGUUAAGUAGCGGUGAAAUGCAUAGAUAUAACUUAGAACACCGAUAGCGAAGGCAGCUUACCAGACUGAGUCUGACGCUGAUGCACGAGAGCAUGGGUAGCGAACAGGAUUAGAUACCCUGGUA